AGAUGGACCCGCGGCGCAUUAGCUAGUUGGUGAGGUAACGGCUCACCAAGGCGACGAUGCGUAGCCGACCUGAGAGGGUGAUCGGCCACACUGGGACUGAGACACGGCCCAGACUCCUACGGGAGGCAGCAGUAGGGAAUCUUCCGCAAUGGACGAAAGUCUGACGGAGCAACGCCGCGUGAGUGAUGAAGGUUUUCGGAUCGUAAAGCUCUGUUGUUAGGGAAGAACAAGUGCCGUUCAAAUAGGGCGGCACCUUGACGGUACCUAACCAGAAAGCCACGGCUAACUACGUGCCAGCAGCCGCGGUAAUACGUAGGUGGCAAGCGUUGUCCGGAAUUAUUGGGCGUAAAGGGCUCGCAGGCGGUUUCUUAAGUCUGAUGUGAAAGCCCCCGGCUCAACCGGGGAGGGUCAUUGGAAACUGGGGAACUUGAGUGCAGAAGAGGAGAGUGGAAUUCCACGUGUAGCGGUGAAAUGCGUAGAGAUGUGGAGGAACACCAGUGGCGAAGGCGACUCUCUGGUCUGUAACUGACGCUGAGGAGCGAAAGCGUGGGGAGCGAACAGGAUUAGAUACCCUGGUAGUCCACGCCGUAAACGAUGAGUGCUAAGUGUUAGGGGGUUUCCGCCCCUUAGUGCUGCAGCUAACGCAUUAAGCACUCCGCCUGGGGAGUACGGUCGCAAGACUGAAACUCAAAGGAAUUGACGGGGGCCCGCACAAGCGGUGGAGCAUGUGGUUUAAUUCGAAGCAACGCGAAGAACCUUACCAGGUCUUGACAUCCUCUGACAAUCCUAGAGAUAGGACGUCCCCUUCGGGGGCAGAGUGACAGGUGGUGCAUGGUUGUCGUCAGCUCGUGUCGUGAGAUGUUGGGUUAAGUCCCGCAACGAGCGCAACCCUUGAUCUUAGUUGCCAGCAUUCAGUUGGGCACUCUAAGGUGACUGCCGGUGACAAACCGGAGGAAGGUGGGGAUGACGUCAAAUCAUCAUGCCCCUUAUGACCUGGGCUACACACGUGCUACAAUGGACAGAACAAAGGGCAGCGAAACCGCGAGGUUAAGCCAAUCCC
rnacentral:rRNA from 1 species